UGGGCAUCCAGAUUUUGCUCUCAUUGUGGAGAUGAAGGGUGACAAACUACCCCAUCUUUAUGGUUUGGCGUACAAACAAGUCGCUCUGCCCGACUUUGAAGUCGGUUCAUACAUCUUGGUCAGGGCUGACGAGUCUGUUCCAGUUGAUGGCAAAGUUUCGCAAAGGAGAUCAAAAGUUACAAUUUAGCAUUUGACUGGUGGAGCCAAACCUGGAGAGAUGAAAGCUGGGGAUAGCAUCCCUGCUGGUGCAAGUAAUUUGGUAUGAUGAUAGUGAAGGCGACGAAAACAUGGAAUGAGUCAACAUUAAACAGGAUUUUCCAGUAGAGGAAUGGAGAAGUAUGCACAUGGGGAUUAACUAGGUAAGUCCUUCUGCUCGAAUGUGUCCUAAAAACCAUCACUAAUGUCCAGCAGCUUUAGAGACCUGGUGACAGGCCUGUCACAUGUGUGCAAUCACUCUCUAAAAUCUCAGGUAUAACUUCGA